AAGCCUUGUGGUGUAUUUAACAUAUUGAAUUGCAAAUUCAAAUAAGCAGCUUCAACCCUGCCGGGGCUUC
rnacentral:tRNA from 1 species